rnacentral:tRNA from 1 species
GGUUCUAUAAUUCAAUGGAUAGAAUGGCUGUCUUCUAAACAGCAGAUACAAGUUCGAAUCUUGUUAGAACCU